UCCAGCUGGCUCCAUCGAUGCCAGCACUACCUGUUAGCCUCCCAACUUGACAUUCCCGUUUCCCUACCUCUCAUUCUUUCUUUUUACGCAUGCUGGGGGAUGCGUAGGUGGUCAGCCGUACUCAAGAUGCUGAGGGCAACUGCACAGGGCAGGUGAGCCCCAAGAAAGAGGUGGAGCUUGGCUUCUUGCACUGUGAAGAAAAAGGCUGCAAGUUCCUACAGGACAGUCACUGUUGUGGUUCGUUGGGCAUCAACUUCUGCUUCUCUUCUACAGUAUAUGUGGGUGUCCACCACUCCUUCACGCAAGUACAGAGACUUCCCGCUCUUCCCCCACUUCCGGAAAGGCCUUCAUUGACCGAUGUCCGCCAGCAGGUCCCAUCCACCUGGACACAACGAUAGGGCAACCUGAGUCCACAGGAAGGAGGAAGCAGAUCGAUGGCUGUUCAAGGGAAACAGCCUUGUCCCUCCAGCUCAGCCACAAUGGGAAGUGUGAACGUUCUCUAAGUGGACAGAGAAGAAGGUCUGGAGAGAGGAAGAGCCACCAGAGUUCUCAUGGCUGGAGGCCCCCUUAAUUAAUUCACCUGCCGUCUGAAUGCAUUGUAGAGUCCACUUAAAGAAAUCAGAGAAGCUGCCACAUUAAAAGAUGUGCGUAGGUGGGUGAGGGAGGAGGCGGGUAAUUAUGCAGGGAGAAUAAUUUUCUUCAUAUUCUUCUGGAAAUGUGCACGCAGCAGAGAGAGCAGCAGGGGAGACAGGGGGAGGGAGAGCCUAUUAACGGAAGGUGUGCCUUGUUCCUCUCAAAGGCGCGUAGAGGCGGAGAGGGCAGCACCUCACAUGCCUAUCUGACCCCUGAAUCCUUAGGGGGAAUGUCAAAGAGGUCACAGGGCACCCCUGGGGGGACUGUGUGUGUGUGUGUUCAAGUGUUCUCCACCUUCUGUUUUUGUUCCUACCUUCAGACCGGUCUCUCACUGAAUCUGGAGCUCUUCCAUUCAGCUUGACUAUUGGCCAGCAGGCCUCAGGGGUCCUUUUGUCUCUGUCUCUGAGUUCCAGUGAGGGCAUGGUUUUUUCGUGGGUUCUAAAGGACCGAACUCGCUUCCUCAUGUUCGCACAGAGGGCACUAUAUAUUAAGGAAGCCAUCUCCCCAGCCUUGGAGGGACUCUUGAAUGUUAGACUUCAUCCAUGGGUGGAAAAAUAAAAGGGCUUCUUAAGAAU